rnacentral:rRNA from 1 species
GACCCUUAGAGUUUGAUCCUGGCUCAGGACGAACGCUGGCGGCGUGCCUAAUACAUGCAAGUCGAGCGGACCGACGGGAGCUUGCUCCCUUAGGUCAGCGGCGGACGGGUGAGUAACACGUGGGUAACCUGCCUGUAAGACUGGGAUAACUCCGGGAAACCGGGGCUAAUACCGGAUGCUUGAUUGAACCGCAUGGUUCAAUCAUAAAAGGUGGCUUUUAGCUACCACUUACAGAUGGACCCGCGGCGCAUUAGCUAGUUGGUGAGGUAACGGCUCACCAAGGCGACGAUGCGUAGCCGACCUGAGAGGGUGAUCGGCCACACUGGGACUGAGACACGGCCCAGACUCCUACGGGAGGCAGCAGUAGGGAAUCUUCCGCAAUGGACGAAAGUCUGACGGAGCAACGCCGCGUGAGUGAUGAAGGUUUUCGGAUCGUAAAACUCUGUUGUUAGGGAAGAACAAGUACCGUUCGAAUAGGGCGGUACCUUGACGGUACCUAACCAGAAAGCCACGGCUAACUACGUGCCAGCAGCCGCGGUAAUACGUAGGUGGCAAGCGUUGUCCGGAAUUAUUGGGCGUAAAGCGCGCGCAGGCGGUUUCUUAAGUCUGAUGUGAAAGCCCCCGGCUCAACCGGGGAGGGUCAUUGGAAACUGGGGAACUUGAGUGCAGAAGAGGAGAGUGGAAUUCCACGUGUAGCGGUGAAAUGCGUAGAGAUGUGGAGGAACACCAGUGGCGAAGGCGACUCUCUGGUCUGUAACUGACGCUGAGGCGCGAAAGCGUGGGGAGCGAACAGGAUUAGAUACCCUGGUAGUCCACGCCGUAAACGAUGAGUGCUAAGUGUUAGAGGGUUUCCGCCCUUUAGUGCUGCAGCAAACGCCAUUAAGG